AUUGAACGCUGGCGGCAUGCUCUACACAUGCAAGUCGAACGGUAACAGGUUAAGCUGACGAGUGGCGAACGGGUGAGUAAUGCAUCGGAACGUGCCCGAUCGUGGGGGAUAACGCAGCGAAAGCUGCGCUAAUACCGCAUACGAUCUGAGGAUGAAAGCGGGGGACCGUAAGGCCUCGCGCGAUCGGAGCGGCCGAUGUCAGAUUAGGUAGUUGGUGGGGUAAAGGCCCACCAAGCCGACGAUCUGUAGCUGGUCUGAGAGGACGACCAGCCACACUGGGACUGAGACACGGCCCAGACUCCUACGGGAGGCAGCAGUGGGGAAUUUUGGACAAUGGGCGAAAGCCUGAUCCAGCAAUGCCGCGUACAGGAAGAAGGCCUUCGGGUUGUAAACUGCUUUUGUACGGAGCGAAAAGGUCCUUUCUAAUACAAGGGGCUCAUGACGGUACCGUAAGAAUAAGUACCGGCUAACUACGUGCCAGCCGCCGCAGUAA
rnacentral:rRNA from 1 species